CGGCGAGUGAAGCGGGAUGAGCUCAAAUUUGAAAGCUGGCAGUAAUGUCCGCGUUGUAAUCUCGAGAGUUGUUUUCCGCGCUGGACCACGUACAAGUUCCUUGGAAUAGGAUGUCAUAGAGGGUGAAAAUCCCGUACUUGAUGUGGACGCCCAGUGCUUUGUGAUACAUCUUCGAAGAGUCGAGUUGUUUGGGAAUGCAGCUCAAAAUGGGUGGUAAAUUCCAUCUAAAGCUAAAUAUUGGGGAGAGACCGAUAGCGAACAAGUACCGUGAGGGAAAGAUGAAAAGCACUUUGGAAAGAGAGUUAAACAGUACGUGAAAUUGUCAAAAGGGAAGCAUUUGAAGUCAGACGUGUAUUGUAGUAUUCAACCUUGCUUUUGCUUGGUGUAUUUGCUAUUUUACAGGCCAACAUCAGUUUUGAAUGACGGAUAAGGGUAUAAAGAAUGUGGCAUCUUUGGAUGUGUUAUAGCUUUUUACUGGAUACGUCGUUUGGGACUGAGGAACGCAGCUCGCCGUAAGGCAGACCUUCGGGUACUUUCGAGCUUAGGAUGUUGGCGUAAUGGCUUUA
rnacentral:rRNA from 1 species